rnacentral:rRNA from 1 species
ACGAACGCUGGCGGCGUGCUUAACACAUGCAAGUCGAACGAUGAAGAGAAGAAUCGAAGCUUCGGCAGAAAUUCAUUUCGGAUUAGUGGCAGACGGGUGAGUAACGCGUGAGCAACCUACCUCUUACAAAGGGAUAGCCUCGGGAAACCGGGAUUAAUACCAUAUAACAUUGUGACGAAGCAUUUCGAUGCAAUCAAAGCUACGGCGGUAAGAGAUGGGCUCGCGUCCCAUUAACCGGAUGGUGAGGUAACGGCUCACCAUAGUGACGAUGGGUAACCGGCCUGAGAGGGUGAACGGUCACACUGGAACUGAGACACGGUCCAGACUCCUACGGGAGGCAGCAGUGGGGAAUAUUGCACAAUGGAGGGAACUCUGAUGCAGCGACGCCGCGUGAGUGAUGAAGGAAUUCGUUUCGUAAAACUCUGUUCUAUGGGAAGAAAAGGACUGUACCAUAGGAGAAAGCUCCGGCUAGAUACGUG